ACAGGUACAUCCAGAUGCUGAAGGACCACAGGCCCCGGAUCGUGUGGGACAGCCAGGCAGCAGAGCAUUUCUUCGAGUACAAGAAAAGCCGCGGUGGGAGGCACAUGGUCUUCUACCCAACUCUGAAGUCUGUGCAGGUGCGGCUGGAGCUGGCCCGGGAGCUGGGCGUCGGAGUAUCCAUGUGGGAGCUGGGCCAGGGCCUGGACUACUUCUACGACCUGCUCUAGGCCUGGCUGCGAGCGGAUGUGUGCUUUCCUGAGCGAUGGAGUGACCAGUUCACAUGUGAAAUACAGAC